rnacentral:lncRNA from 1 species
CCUUCCCUGAAGAAACAUGGCCUCCCUGGUUUCUUUAGUUCCUUUCUCACAGAAUUCAAAACAAAAAUGUUACUUAUAAAUAUAGUUAGAAUGAUGAAAGUAGAGGAACAGUAUCUGCUUACCUAAAACCUUGUUGCAGGAGGUCAUCUAGAGGACAUGAAAGCAGGUUCACCUGUGAGCUGGAUCGACCAAUCUUGGGACCCUGGCUACUGGACGCUCCUUACCUGCCUCCCGCGUCCUGGGAAUGUAAGCUCCUCCCACCAUUCCCACAGGGGAGCCUCUUCAAGGAGCAGCCUUGAGAGAGCACGUGUUAUUGAGACCAUCUGGACUACAUUCGUGACUGAACCCCGUCUAGACCUCUAUGUAAACUAUAAGAUUCUGGCGUGCAAUGCGGAGAUCCACUCAUCUUGCGGUUGUUGAAGACAGGCUUGGAGGCAUUGAAACAGAAAUGGAACCAAAUCCUGUCCUUGAGUAUCUUCCAAGAUAUACAGAAAACUUCUUAUGGCUUUUGCUUGAAAGACCCAGAUGCUACAAGGAAAACCAAGUCUUUGCCCUGAAUUAUCAAGGAAGACUCCGAGGAACUUCCUUAGCUACCCAGGCCCUGAAUUGCCAUAAUGGGUCUUCUGAGUGUGGGUUUUUGAAAGACCAAAUGAUAAAUGAAGCUUUGGCUCAGAUUCUGCUCUCAGCAAGACCAAUGAG